GCGGCCGUGACCCUGCUGGAGUGCGGGGGGGACCUCCAGCCCCCCGGGGGGUCCCUGACUCUGCUCUGCCGUGGGAAUGGAUUCAGUUUUGGCAAUUUUGCCAUGUUCUGGAUGCGUCAGAGCCCUGAGAAGGCACUGGAAUACGUCGCGGGGAUCAGCAGUAGUGGCGGCACUGACUACGCACCAUCAGUCAAGGGCCGGGUGACGAUCUCCAGGGACAACGGGCAGAGCUCGGUGACGCUGACCAUGAACAACAUCAAGGACGAGGAUUCUGCCGUUUAUUUCUGUGCCAAAAGUGCUGUUGCUGGAGCGCAGGGAGCAGGGCCCGACCCCAGCACAGCGUUUGUCCAGGCUCAGAUAAAACCGGCAAUCCUUCAGUCCUGCACGGGGGGAGAGCACAAAGAGCAGGGAGGAGACCCCGAGGGCAGGGGAGCAGGAGUCAGGGUCCAGAGGGAAGAGAAGGAGGAGACGCCGCGAGUUUGGGCUGAGCCCAGAGCCUGCAAUUAG